UACGUAGGGGGCAAGCGUUGUCCGGAAUUAUUGGGCGUAAAGAGCGUGUAGGCGGUCCGAUAAGUCGGCUGUGAAAGUCCAGGGCUCAACUCUGGAAUGCCGGCCGAUACUGUCGGACUAGAGUCCGGAAGAGGCAAGUGGAAUUCCCGGUGUAGCGGUGAAAUGCGCAGAUAUCGGGAGGAACACCGGUGGCGAAGGCGGUUCUCUGGGCCUGACCUGACGCUGAGGAGCGAAAGCGUGGGGAGCGAACAGG
rnacentral:rRNA from 1 species